AGAGGAAAAAAAAAAAAAAAGCCCAGAGUUAAGGUGGUCCGUGAGAGAACUAUAAUUUCUUGUAAGUAUUAACCCGAAUCACGCACAACCAACCAUGUUACACAGCAGCACACACAGUUUAAUUAUGAUAUUGUACUGAGUUGCUGGAGAUCACUCUCCGUCACUUGGUAAUGGAUGGUGCUCUGUGGCACUCCCUUUAGAAGCCAAUUUUACAUGCAGUCAACAAGUAGCUUUAUUUAAUGCUCUGGUCCCUUCCCCCACACAGCUGCUCAGCCCUGGCUCCAAGCAUGCCACUGCAUGAGAAGCCUCUCCGCGUUGAAUCUGUUCUAACUGGUUUUUAAAGGAUUUAAAAUCUUAAUUAGAUUCUGCAUGUGAUCCCACUUUACUGAUUUCUGAACACUGAGAAACUUCUAAGCCUUAGUAAGAAAAUAUGAAACUUUUCAAUCUCUAAGUUUGAGCCAAGUGUCAGCAGACACUGGACACAGGUAAUAUUCUGUUUGAAAUCAGUCCCCAGGUCAAGUAAUUAAUUGGCAUGCAGACCUCCUUGCUAGCACCUGCCCUUCUGGGACGCUCUGCACAGAAGCUGAGCUGCACAUUUCAGGACUGAUCUGCCUCCCUCCUUUCAGAGUCUGCAGCAGAGGGAGCCAGGAGGGGUGGUUCACAGAAGAUGGCAGCCUUUUUCUUACUCAGGAAACUUGACAUUAACUAUCAAUCUGACACUUUUGAGAACAAAAGAUACUUUUUUUUUUUUUUUCAAAUAGCAGAGAUGCUUUCUUGCUGGUUAUAAAAAUGAAAAGCUAAUUCCCUGAAUCAGAGAAGAGUCUAGCUUAAUGAAAUGCAAGACAUUAACAAAAGGGCACAUCCUAUUACUCUGAUGGGCCAGCUGAAAUUACCUGAUGGGACUGUGCCUGUUCUUCCCCUGAAAUUCAGUGUCAGCUGCAAGUGCCUGUGUGAGCACAGCAUGGGUGGUAUGUGCCAGUUUCUGCUUGUGAGUUCAGAACAUCUGAGCAUAAAACUCAGCAGAUGAGACCCAUGUCACCCUGUACAGCUCAAACAACAAUCCCAUUGAAGCUGUUUAUUGAUGGAUUUCAGACAGGCCAGUAUAAAGGAAGUUACAUUUAUUUCCAUGCUGGAGCCACAGAACAAAGGAUCUGGUAAGUAAGUGUUCUUAAAGUAUAGAUUUAGCCUUUCAAAGUGUGCCAAACUAAGGACUGUUAUUUGCUUGAGGCUUCUCUGCAUGAGAAACUCCUCUCAUACACCCCAAAGCACACCUCACCUCUCAUGACAUAGCUUAGAACACCUCUGCUUUUCCACCACUGCUGCCCACAAGCAGAGGCUAACAGCUUUUUAACCAGGAGGGAGCACGGGUCAGCAGCUGCUGCAGUGAGCAUUAGGAUGAAUGAAUGCCAAGCUCCUUUGUUCUUGAAGUCUAAUUUUGCACUCAAGCAUGGGUCUAAAGGAUUUAGAAACUUUCAUAACCAUGGCAUGGUCGCUUAAGUUGCAAUUUUUUUUAGCUGUUAUUUUUAAAGAAUGUAACACUCAACUGUUGGUAGUCUGUGCUUCCAUUACAUCCUUUUCUCUUCCACCUUUCUAAAAGUGGUUAACAGCUUCUACCUGCAAUUGUAUUAAGAUUCCACCUACCUGGUGGAAUAUUCAGCAGAACUACUGCUGCAACGGGAACUACGACAUCCUCAAAAAUUUUGCCUAGAUUGUCCAAGACCAGAAGUAAAGGAGUUACAAGACUAGCCAAAUAUUCCCCUAGAUACACUUGUUCUCGCUUCCCCUAGAGUUGUCUACCAGAAGUCCUAAAUGUUACAGGUGGUCAGACCUCUAUUCUGUAGUGGGAUCCAGCACACACACAUUACACGUGGGGAAAAUCCACACCACUGCAUUAAAUUUUGAGUCACCAUGCAGAACACAUUUUGAGUUCAGAAGCCGACUGAGUUGUUAUGGAGACAUGCUCAACAUACAGCACAGCUGAUGUUUGUUCACCCAUUUACUUAUCUUAGUUGCACUGUGAGUGUAAUUUGUUUGGAGCAGCUGAAAGUAUUUCGAAUAGUCACCAAUACUAACGCUUUCCUUUACAAUGCUUUCCCUGCAAAGACUGACUUGAGAUGCUUCCUUUCAGGGCUCACCAGCACCACUAGCACAAGAACAUCUUCCUUCUCGGGCUCUGAGUUUUGCUUCCUAGCUAACACAAACCUGGUUCUUUGUCUUAACAGGAUCACAGAGGUCUAGAUGGCAAAUUUUCUUUUUCUCUCCUAUGCACUAGCAGAUCUGCUGACCAGUCCUAGCUGUCCUGUGCCUUCCAGAUAGAACCGCUGCUCAGGAAGGUAGGGCUACAAAGAUAGGAAAGGGUCUAGAGGGCAAUAUGUAUUAGGAGCAAUUGAGGUCACUUGGUUUAAUACCUUCACUAAAAGGACAUGCUUGAAGGCAAAAACCUGUCCCUUCAUUUCCAUGUUAUGAUUUAAUGAGGUACCAAAUACACAAAUUAGCACUGCAAUCUCUUCUGCGCAUUAGAAACAGCCUGAUAAUGUGAUCAUCUCUUUGAAAACUAUAAUCUGAAGUGGAAAAUAGUAGACAACAUGUAAAAUGGUGGAAGGAAAUAAACAGAAAACUGGAUGGAUAACAUCAUAGAGAGGGAUGAAUAACACUUAUAACUAAAUCUAUUUUCACAAAUACUGAGUAUACAGGAAAGAAUAUCAAAAUUUCAUACCCAAACCUGUCAAACUACUGGCAAGCCUUUCUAAGGCAGUGGAUUAUUUUCUUAUGCAUCUAAUCUUACUCAUUUUGUUGGCUUCAUGAAACCAAAUCACAACUCAAUCAAGUGAUUGUGUAGUUUUCCUUGCCAUCUGUAAUCAAACUAUUAGCAUUUAAAUGGGAGUACCUCUAUUUCACAUGACAGAGAUUUAAAAAUACUUUCAAAUAAAGAAGCAUACAGAAAAUGCAAGAAUUUGCUAUUCCAGCUUAGGUGCCUAUAAUAAUAUAUCAAAGUCAUUCCAAUGGCUACAAAACAAUCUUCAAGAAGCUGGUUCACACUUAGGGAUCUAUUACUAUGGCAGUGGUUGUUAAGUUUGAGGAUUCCUACCCCUGUUACUUUUAUAGGAUCUCCAAUUUCUCUAAAAAUAUAAAAGUGUCAUGCAAUGGAGCACAAAGCAAUACAUCCAGCUCUGUACCUGAACAUUCUUGUACAGGUGACUCCAGACAUUUCACCACAGAUUACAGUAAAGGCCUUUCAGUAAUGACAAAAAUCUCUCGUACAAAGACAUUAGACUACCAUUCUCCAUCACUGUAAUGAGGGUAAACAUCGUGACCCUGAGUCAGGGGAUUUAGGUUUGAGUCUAUUUUUAGCAAUAGCUAUCUAUCUGACCUUGUGUGAGUUGUCUUACCUACAUCUUUGCUGCCAUAAGAAAGCUAGCGUUACCGGAAGUAUUGUGGAGCUGAAUUAAUUUUUAUCAGAAAAGUCCUUGCUAUGGAAGAACAAAGUGAUUUUACCUGUGUUAGCCGGACGGAUCCAUUCUGGGAUACUGAGAUAGCAAAAACCUGUAUGAAAUUACUAGUCUUGAGUUUAUGAAAAACAAGAAAAACGUAGAAACAAAGACUGCUUCAAAUACUUUGCAUAACUGGUUUCAGCCUGCUUACUCAUUAGGCCUCUGAGGAAAGAUGAUGUUACAUUCAACAUUGCCUUAAUUUUUCAUGCAUUUGAUCUAAUUGCCAAGUUCUAGUUGGUUGUUCAAGAGUUUAUUAUGAGUCUCCAAGAACCCAGACAGUACUUCAACAUUCUGAUGCUAAAGGGUUUGGAAUCUAAUUUAGACUUGAUUAGCUCACACAAACUGGUGAACAGGGAGUGCUUGAUGAAUUUAUACCCUUUCACUUUUUUUCCCACGGAAGAAUCUCUCCAUCAGUCUCAUCACCUUGAUGGUAAUGGAAAUGGAUUACAAUAGUGGAGUGCCUGGGGACAGUGGGGCCUGAACUCCUUGCAGAGAUGCUGCUGCUAAAUCUAUAAUAACAAACAAUUUUCUAGAGGUUUUCUAUAAAGGCCAUACAAAUUAAGAUUAAACCCUCCUACACACAUCUGUGUGAGGGAGGUAUUGUACCCCCUACCUUUAGAAAAAGGUUGAAAACAUUUUUCAGGAUGUUUAAAUUCAAACCUUUCAAAAGCUUGUGCUGAAAUUAUGCCUUUAAGUAUCUCGUGCAUUAAAGUACGUGGAGGAUUUGCCUAUUAGUAAGGCUGUAUUAGCUGUUUAAGAAGCACUAAGAAAAAGUGCAGAAGAGCUGGCACAUUUCUGUGCACAUUUGGAAAAGUGUCUGCUUCCCUGCAGCAGGCCAGAGGAGAUCUGUGCUGUGCCACCACUGGGACAGAAUUCCUGACGCUUUGUCCUAAGCUCUCUUGACUGAGGCAAUCUCCAUUUUGUGACAUUUUGCUUUUCUUGAUCUUCUUCCAGAGCAAUAAAGGCAGAGUAUUUUGAUCAGAAAGUUUAAACUAACAUCUGCCAAACAUACUGUGUUCUGUUGCCGUAGGGAAAACAAUUGAACAGCUUCAUAUUUUGGAACUUCUAAAAGUAAAAAGAUAAUAAUCUUUUUACCUCUUAUUCUUUCAUUAUUGUUUACUUGUUUCCAAUUGAGUGCAACACUGUGAAGAAUAACCAUAAUAUUGCCAAAAUAGCUUGUCCCUCAAUGGAAACUCAGUCUGGGCAUUAGACAUUCAGAUUUUCCACUGACAUCACAAAAGCAAGCUGAACAGAUUUUAUAUAAUUUUCACUAAAUUUCUUGCACGGAAUCCAAACUUCCUCUCUUCUUAGGCUUUUUCAAACCACUACAUAUUAGCUACUGCAACUACAAAAAAUUCAGACUUCUAUGCAAAGUUCUCACUUUUUUUUCCCCUACUCCUUUCAUCUUCAUUUUCCUCCUUGUUAGAUUGAAAGGAAACAAAUACAAGUUUCUUUUUACUGAGCAAAAGGAAAAGAACAAAAAAGUACUUACUGCCUACCAAGGAGCCCCAACAACUAAGCCUCAUAAGGGUAUUUAACUCCAUUCUCCCUGCAUAGAUUUCAGUUAGGAUAAUUGCUAUGCACUUAAAACUUUCUUUGCAGUAACUAUGGUCUGAAUGGUAAUCAGUACUGUCACCCAAAGGGAAAGGUUUAUCUAAUGGUUAUGUGCCCCCAUAGGGUUUAGAAUAAGCUGGCCUCACAGACAGACAUCUCCGUCCAGCAGACAGGUCCAUGUGGAUCUGUAGAACUGCGACUCAAACUGGCCUAAUAAACACUGUGCCUGAUUAAAACCAAAGCUUGGGGAAAGAGAAUUUUUUAAGGAUAAGAAAAGCACUUCACUCUUCAGGACUGAGACCCUUUCAGGUACCCCUAGAACUCGCUCUUUUUCUGCCAGUCCUCGCUCCCACUCUAGAACUCUAGAUGUGUUUGUACUACUUGCACUAGUGCUUGAAGGCAGCUGAUUAGUACAGCUCAGCUGAGCUGCACAAAUCCCACCUGGGAGCAGUGAACUCCUGGAAAGUUCAGAGCGCUCUGCCCUGUCAGCACACUAAGACCUGGCCUGGAAAAAGUUCUCCAGCUGAGGUUUUCAUGUUCCCCAGGGGAUGAAACAAGCUCAUUUUGAAUGAUUCUACCCCCAGAAUGGCACUAGAGAGAAAAGGCUGAAAGAGAAAAGACAGAACUUUUGCCCUCAGAUUAAUUACCUGUGACAGACCAAUAACAUGCUCUCUCUUUGUUUCACAAGACCACAGGCUGAACCCCUAGUAUCCCAAAUCCCUGCUGUAUGGUCCUGACCUGCUUCCAAGGCUACAAGCUAAUCUACUGCAAAUCUCUCUCUCCCAGCACAGCUCUCUGCUCUGCACAAGCUGCUUUGUGAAGAGUGAAUGAUGGAAACUGAAGACGUUCACUGAGGGCUCCAAAAGAAUAUGAAGGAAAUUGUUGCUGAAUUGAAGGUUUAUCUCUACGAACAUAAACUCCUCUAACAGGCCAGGCAAGGUGGGAUCUGCCACAGCACAGCAGAAAAUUCCUCGUCAGUUCUAAUUCCAGUGAUCCUGAAGGAAUGCUGAAAGUGUGGGACUGGCAGAGAUAAACACGAUACCAGCUCCAGGCUGCUAAGGACAAACCAUGGAUGUAAGAUUCUAUGAGGUGAAGGAAGGAAGAAAAUGGCAUAGCUGAACCUCUGAACAACGAGUCCUACUCUAAACUAAUUUCUGAAAAUAAAAGAAAAAGAAAACAAAAAGGUAAAAGAGCAACAAAGCUGAAAUGUUAAACCAAAUUUGUUGGUUUAUGCACAAAUGUUUCCACCAGAGGAAACAUUGUAAACUGAAGGAUGUAUUAUUUUUGACAAGAUGCCUUUUGGGGGUACUUCGUGUAUAUCAAAGUGCUUAGUUUUCUUUUAGAACAUCAUUUUAAAGUGCAGUUUACAUUAUGACCUUAUUUAGAGUAAUUUUGUGGGUACUUUUCUUGGCUUUCUUCUUAAUGUAUUUGUUUAUAUAUAUAUAGUCAGAUCUUACAUAAAAGAGAAAAAGUUUAGCUAAUGAGACAUGAUAGUUGUCACAGCUUAACAAAAUGUUGGAACCUUCACAUGGUCAGCUGCUCAUCACCUUUCUCACCAGUUUAAAUUCCCUACAGAUUGAUUUGUCCAAACUCUUAAAAGCAGAAUCUCAAUGAAAGAUAUCCUGGCUUUUCUAUUUUCUUCAAGUACAGUGGAGCUUAAUUUUAAGGAAACGCCACAGAUUCCUCAUGGCAGGAACUAUACAAACUAAAAUCCAACUAAAAGUAAUAUUGGGAAAUUCUUGCUACACAAGUCAAGUAAGAAGCAUCAUAAAUGUGGUAAAUGUACUUCUCUUGUCUACCCAGGAUCUGUGCCUUCAAACACGCGUUCUCACUUGUCAGCACAAACCCCACAGUAGUAUAUUUUCCAUUUACUUAGCAAUCUGAUUUGUGAAAGGGUUCUACCUUGCUUUGGACAAAGUCUAGGGACAGCAAACCACCCUUCCCCUGCUCCCAUGUGUUGUGCCUUUUUUGUAGCUCUGUCAUGUGGUUCUCUCAAUUGCCAGGGACUAUGCCACCAUUUCUACUUGUCUUUAACCACAAGCCAUCCCUUUCUUCCGCUGUGCUCUCCUUUCCCCCCCUGCUUCCUCAUUAACGAUAAGGACACCAUGUCACAAACCAGCAGAGGAUAACCAGAAAAAAAAAAAUAGGGGAAAGGCAAUCACAAGAGAUGGAAAGAAACCAGAAAGUCCUACCUCACCUCUUCGUUCCAACAGUGAUCCAGUACAGUUCACUGACACUACCAUAAACGAUUAAUUAGUUCAUGCCACAAAAUGCAGCCUCAGAUAUAAAUCGUUUUCUAAUUCAGCCACUAAAAAUGAAACGAUGUGGUGACUUUCUAAGAUGGUAUCUGCAACCUUUCACCUUCUUUCCCCACCCGUAGUGUGGGAACAUUGAGCAUAUAGGAAACCAUUCCAGAGAAAUAUGAAAGACAAAACGAUGCGUUGGAGAAGUCCACAUUUCUAUUGUGUUUGUUAUGUGUUUUGUCCUGGUUGUCUUCAUGUCAUGACUUCCUCUUCAUGAGGAAGAUUUUAAAUAUACCAUGGGCAAAUGUAACAAAAAUUACUUCUUAUGAAGAAAAACAGAGAGGUAGAGAAGUUCGAGCUUUCCUUACAAUAAAUUCAAAAGCUGGAAGUCUGCCCAUUAACAGAAUCAAUUCAUGCAUAACAAAACUCGUAUUAUUUUUGAAUGGACAUUCAUACAUUUAUGACACACAUCACAGUGUUGUUUCUUUUGACCUUUUUAUAGUACACUGAACAAACAUCCCACUGGAAACCUCAUCCAACUCAGGAUAUUCCAUGACUGGAUGAUUCUAAUGUAUGAAAUUAAUUUAUGACAUUAAAUAUCACUAGCUGCAGUGAUACAAUUCAGGAGAACAACAACAGCAAUCUUUUAAGAAGGCUUUUUAAAAAACCUUUUAAACCCUACAGCUAUCAAACUUGUGAGAAUUUGCAAGAGCAGAGCAACAAUAUGCAAACUUUGUACUGUCGUGAUGGGGAAAUGUUUGCCUGUGGAAAUCCAAAAUGCUUUAUCAUAUCUGUGAGAUACAGCCAGAGGGCUGGUGAUACAUCCUGUCAGCAGUAAGCAGUGGCUGUGGAUACUUCUGUUUCCUAGGUGACUUAUGGAUGCCAAGUGGCAGCAGUUGACUCACAUUCAAGCUAGAAAUGAGACGAUGUACUUGGGAAGAGAUAAACAUGUAAAAGAAGCUAGAAUCUCACCAUUGCUGUGUAGGCUGUGUUUCAUGGAGAUUCUGAGCUCUAAAACAAUGAAAGCAACCAGGAAUGCUAGUAUUUGAUGUGGCUGUUAUACACGGCAUUUGGCCAAGAUCCUUUCCUUCAACAGUUUAGAAGCAGUACUCAACAUUUAUUUCCUAAAUUUCCUCUGACAUGGCUGUUUAAAGGUAGCAUUUUUUAUCAUCAGCUCUGCUACAUCUAAGGCCUUCUCUUAUUAUCAACAUUAGAUAAAGGUGCAGGAACAUUUCUUUGUAAAAACUUGUUUUGUGUUUGGGGUGAUGUAAUUCUACCCAUCUGAACCAAAUGCUGUGUAAUGAGCAUGCGCUCAAAUGGCUAAACUGAACAGCAAAAACAACUUUACAUG